GUAGCCUGAAGGAACGUUGAAGACGACGACGUUGAUAGGCCGGGUGUGUAAGCGCAGCGAUGCGUUGAGCUAACCGGUACUAAUGAACCGUGAGGCUUAACCUUACAACGCCGAAG
rnacentral:rRNA from 1 species